ACAGAGGGUGCGAGCGUUAAUCGGAUUUACUGGGCGUAAAGCGUGCGUAGGCGGCUGAUUAAGUCGGAUGUGAAAUCCCUGAGCUUAACUUAGGAAUUGCAUUCGAUACUGGUCAGCUAGAGUAUGGGAGAGGAUGGUAGAAUUCCAGGUGUAGCGGUGAAAUGCGUAGAGAUCUGGAGGAAUACCGAUGGCGAAGGCAGCCAUCUGGCCUAAUACUGACGCUGAGGUACGAAAGCAUGGGGAGCAAACAG
rnacentral:rRNA from 1 species